AGUGCACAAACUUGCGAAGAAUGUUCAAAAAGUUCCUAUCAUUUAUUUUUUUCUUCCAAUUCGAAAUAUUUUUGUGACUUUAAUAAUGAUAAAAAUGAAUGUUUGUUGGAGGAGGGUGAGGGCAAAGGUAAAGAACUAAAAUGCCCUGGAGAAGUAGGUGGUGUGAGCAGCACGUCUUAUAUUGGUGUUAAUGAGGUUAAUAUCAUGGGGCAAUUACUACAUACGUUGAUAUUGGUUGGGUUUAUGGGUGGGAUUUUGUACACGAGAAAAAAAGUUUUGAGAAUGCAUAGAA
rnacentral:ribozyme from 1 species